UACAGAGGGGGCAAGCGUUGUUCGGAAUUACUGGGCGUAAAGGGCGCGUAGGCGGCUUGCUAAGUCGAACGUGAAAUCCCCGAGCUCAACUCGGGAACUGCGUCCGAUACUGGCAGGCUUGAAUCCGGGAGAGGGAUGCGGAAUUCCAGGUGUAGCGGUGAAAUGCGUAGAUAUCUGGAGGAACACCGGUGGCGAAGGCGGCAUCCUGGGCCGGCAUUGACGCUGAGGCGCGAAGGCCAGGGGAGCAAACAGG
rnacentral:rRNA from 1 species